GGAAGUGUUGAUUUAAAAAUAAGUCUUUACUUUUUCUCAUCUCCGUAACAUAUUCUACAGAUAUAGACAUUGAAAGUGUAGUGAUGUUGCUGAUAUGAUGUCAAUAUACAGUCUAUAGAUCACCUUCACUGUCUGUUGCUGCUGUGAACCGC